GUGCAGUUUCCAGUGUCAUCUUCAUCCAAAUGCAUGAAUGCAAGAUCCACAGCUUCCCUCUUCCAAUGAUCGCACAGCCUGUCUCCUUUAAGAUGUCCUUGGUUAUCUCUGUAAAACUUGACCUUAAGUUCUUCUGUCUGGGGAUCGCUCAUAAUAAUGCCAAAUGGACAGGCGUGUGAAUGCCUCCACGGUAACGACCAGAGGCAAACCGGCACAUACACGUUUGUAUUUCUCCUUCUUCAGCAUGAAGCCUUCCUUUUUCUCCCCUCUUUGUGGGAUCAGUGGGUUUGGGGUUUUUCUUGGUGGCAGAGCAGCGCCGUCACCGAGCAGCCGUCGCUGGCCUGAUAUGCAGCGGUGAAGUCUUCACUGGUUUCUCUUCUGCUCCUGUGUGCUUGCAGAAACCGGGCUGGCUCUUGAUUGGGAUUGUAGGCUGCAGAGGCUGGGGAAGGGCAGACAGCCUCGGGAGACACGCCGGAAAGGGCGGCUCCCUCGUGCUCCUCAGUGACUCAGGGUUUUGGCCACAUAGCUCCCCUCCUCCACCCUCGCUCAGCAGGCUGCAUCCGGGGCGGGGCUGGCAGGCAAAGAGGCUGUGUCACAGCCCUUCAGAGCCUCAAGCUGGGGUCCCUAGGGUUUCUGGACCUCAGAUCACUGUGAGGCAGGAGGUCCUCCACCCUCCCUCCGGCAACUCUGAAGUAUGGGAAGUGGGCUGAUGCGCUGGAACGUCGAUGCAGCCAGUGAUGUGUUUGAUGAGAAUGUAUUGAGAGUAAAGCUGCCCAGAAUCCAAGUGUGUGUCAUCUGAACUCUUGAAUCAUGGAUGGAAGGUAUGUCCUCUGUUGAUGUCUCGCAGCCUGAGCUGACAAUCUGUAAGAAGGUUUUGUUAUCUUCAUGUUACAGAUGGUGAACCGAAACUUACAGAGCUCAAGUCACUUGACCAGGCUCCACCCCUACAAGAGGCAGCACGCAAACUAAAAACCAGGCGGCCUUUUCCAAAGCUUGUGCUCUGCUCCACUGCUGGAAGGAACCCUUCGGGGAAUUGAAGCAGCACUGAACAAAGGCCAUUUUUAAGAAGCGACACCAGAAACCUAAGGCGGGGUCCCCGGCUCAACAAGGAUCUCAUGUUUUGUGGGUCAGAGAUUCUUGUGUCGUGUCUGGGUGAGGUCAAAAACCAUGCAGAGACUUUCACUUCCUGUUCUGUGGCAGACAAGACAUCUGAAAAGCUCUCCUGCAGCAACACUUCUAGAUGCCAAGUAAAUCACAGCAAGUGCACUUUUAAAUGUGUUACUAAGAUCAUAAAAAUGAAGGAAAAUGCCCAAGCAUAUCCCCAACCCCUCACCCCACAACCACCACCACCACAAUAAACAAGUUGCUGACAGUGG
rnacentral:lncRNA from 1 species